ensembl:snRNA U6 U6 spliceosomal RNA
GUACUCGCUUCAGCAGCACAUAUACUAAAAUUGUAACAAUAGGGAGAAGAUUAGCAUGGCCCCUGUACAGGGGUGACAUGCAAAUUCGUGAAGCAUUCUAUAUUUUU